GCAUAAUUGGCCGAAUAGUAUAACAGUAAGGACAUAAUUAGCCUAAUAGUAUAACGAAGGUAUAAAUAAGUCAUUUCUCAAAGUUCACGUAAUUCCUUUUUUGAUAAAGUUCUAGCUUCUCUUUUCUAUAGACACAGAUUUGUUCCUCUAUUUUCUUGCUUUAAACAGGAGCCCCUCUGUCAUGAACACAAAAGACCAAAAUACUUUUCAAAUUUCUGAGAGAAAAUCAACUUUCAGAGAUUGGAUUUGAUUUCAAAGGACUCUUUGAUUUUCGUUUUGGAGCCAUAAAAUUUGAAGUCCGAAACCCUAACCUAGCUCUCCAUCACCUAUAAAUACAUCUCAUUAUCAUCUGUUUGGGAGGAGGUUCUGGCCGCCACUUCUCUCUGGAAAAAAGAUUAUCUUCUCAUCAUUUUUUUUUCAAGGCACUUAGUAUUCAUUCCUUUGUUGUCUCAGAUCUGAGCAUCGUUCAUUUUCGAGGGUGAGUCAGAGAUCCAAAGCCCCGUUCACUGCACCGCAAAAGGUCGGCAAACUGUCCUUUCUUUUUUUUUUUGUAGUUUUCAACACAUUUAUGACUCUGCGUAUAUUGUGAAAUAUUGUUAGUUUCUUUCAGCUUGGUUUAUUUUUAUCCAUGAAAAGAGAUAUCCAACAUGUUUGUUUUAAAUCUUUGGUGCUAUGAGUAUGGGUCGUUAUUCUAUGUUUUGCUAUGAAUCGUCAUUUUGUGUUUGCUGCUUUAUUAAGAAUAUUCAUUAGCUGCUGCCCAAGUAAAAAUUAUGUUCCUAGGACUCAUUUGUUUUUAUAAGCAUUAAAACUCUCAAAGAGCAUGCUUUCACCUGAAGUUGAUAUAUGAAUGAGUGUUAGUCAAUAUAAUUAAGUGUCGUUAAUGGAAUGAACGUAUGGUCUUCUGUUCCCCAUAAUGUUGAGGCUCUAACAUCAUGUAUUCCUUUUAAUGUAUUGAUAUACUUUCAUUAUUCUAGGUUGGACGCUAUAGGAUGUUUCUUUUUGUUAUUAAGUUACAGUACAAUCAUUUAAUGCAAGAGUUAGACAAGAAAAUGGGAAGCCGGUCUAUUAAAAGCCUAAAUCUUUCCCUUGGUUUCUUUUUUUUCCUUUACUACAUUAAAUAUGGUACACUAUUUGGAUAUGUAUAAUUGAGCUUUCCUUGUUAAAUGUUUAGAAACCAUGUAUUAGUAAGCCUUUCUUGGUUAAUAUGAAAAUAGCAUUGCUAUAGGAAAUAGAUACAAUCUGUUUCUCUUCUAAUCUGUUGUAGAUCUUCUCUCGACUUUUGUGUGCAAAGCUUUAUUUACUGGAUGAUGAAUGAAAACACUUGGUUUGUUGUAUUUUUAAACGGUUCGCUGUGGUUCGGAACAUCGAAUGCAAAAUUUGCCUCAUGUUUGGCUUUGAGUGUUUUGAAGCAUCUUCUAGGUGUUAUAGUAAUAAAAUUGCAUUUUUAUUUUACUUUAACAGAAAAAAGUGGGUUGUGAUGGUCUCUUGUUAGUGAUUGUCCUCUUGUUUCACCCAGUAGGGGGUGAUCUUUUGCUGAUGAUGCAAUAUCCUGGAUCUAAGGACAUAUCUUUGUCACUUGUUAUGUUUACUUGUUAGUUGUUACAUAUAUUGUGUUCUGUUAUGCCGUAUCAUAGUGUUGUUUCGGUCCUCAUUAUGUUAAAAAUGAAUAUCCUGACGGCUGGUUUUAAAACAGUGAAGGACUAAUCCUUUCUGGUUCUUUCCCCUUUUAUAUAUCUUAGUAAAGCCAGUUGGACAUUGUUGACCAACUUUCUCAUGCUUUACUUAAAUUCCCUUAUGAGGUUGUCCUGCUAAUCGUUAUUUUCUCUUCUUUUACAUGUACAAUUCUCCGGAGCAAAAUGGAGUCUUCAUAAAAGACUCUCACCGUUGCAUAGUCUCUUGCUGCCAUUAGACAUGGAAUCAGCGUCUCCUUUUUAGUCACCUCUCUCGUUCCCUCCCAAUGCAUCCGAACAAAAAGAGAAGUGAAGCAAGGGGAAAUAUAGAACCCGCAUCCGCUUCUUCGCUCACUUCUUGCCCUCUGAAUAGAAGAAAGAGCAUACUGUUGCAUUUUAGAUUAUCCUAUGAUUAAUUAAUUGUUUUGCUUUCGUAUUUGUGAUUGUGUGUCUAAUUUUAAGAUUAUUGGCCUUAGAAAUCCUACGCUAGAGGGGGGUAAUUGGUAUAUAUUUUUAUGAAUCAUUUUACAAUUCCAAAUGAGUCUAAUUAGAUUUAGGAGCAAUCUAAAUGGAAUUUGAUUUAUCUCUUUCACGUGAAAGCAAAGGGGAAUUUAGUCUCCGGCCAAAGUUAAAAGCUCUGAAUGUUGGUUCAGUUGGCAAACCCUUUUUAAAUACUUUCUUGCUGCCUAUUUGUUUUUAAAACAAGUUAAAGACUUUUAAAACAGUUACCUAAUUUUCUUUACAAGUUGACAAAAGGAAACGACCAUUUUAAGUCUUUGUUUUUUUUAUUUUCGAAAAAAAAAAGUCUUUUGAGUUUAAGAUGGCUAAUCUUACUUUCUUGAAUAGGAAAACCAUUUUAUUAAUUAUAAGUCGCAUCUUUCUUAAUUCAUUUUGGGCUUAAAAAUGUUUUCUUAAUUAAUUACUCGUCUACUUGAUAUCUUAAGACAAAUAUUUAUUUUGAUUUCAAUUCACCUAAGUUUGGCCGGUUAAUCGUAUUUAACGGACCUUAAAGGAUGCUUAACACCUUUCCUUUAGGAUAAUUAGAACCCUUACUUAGAAUCAAAUAAGUUAAGUAGACCAUUAAUCGGAGUUAAUUUUAAGCAUUUAUUUGGUUAAAAUAGGUGCCCUAAUUCAUCGCAAAAGUAAUUAGGUGGCGACUCUUUAAGUUAAAUAAUUAGGAAUCACCAAUAUAUUGUACUCCGCUUUGACCCGGUUAAAAUGGGUAUAACACUAGUACCACAUGCCCCGUCGAGCCACGGGUGGAGGAUGAUCAUGUUAUUGCUCAUGAUAGACCAAGAUGAUUUAUAAAGAAGCCCGCUCGAUAUGUUGACACUGAUGAUGAUGGGCUUAUUGCUUAUGCUCUUGCAGCUGUACAAGAAAUUCCCGAAGGAGUUGACCCUUCUACUUACUCUGAGGCAAUUCUUGUCCUAAUUCUUCAAAUUGGUUAGUGGCUAUGCAAGAAAAGAUGGAAAGUUUGCACAAAAAUAAUACAUAGGAGUUAUGUGAGCUGCCCAAAGACCGUGGUGCAUUGACUGCAAAUAUGGAUCUACAAACUAAAAGAUGGUAUUCCCGGGGUUGAAGAAGCAAGAUGGAAAGCUCGCUUAGUGGUUGGUGGUUGCCACCAAAAGGAAAGGUAUUGACUUUAAUGAAGUUUUCUCUCAUGUUGUUCGCCAUACCUCCAUUAGAGUGUUACUUGUUAUUGUUGCUCUUUUUGACUUGGAGUUGGAGCAACUUGGUGUUAAAACUGCGUUUCUUCAUGAGAGUUAGAAGAAGAAAUUUAUAUGAAGCAACCCGAAGGUUUUGUUGUUCCUGGCAAGGAGCAAUUUGUUUGUCAGUUGAAAAGAUCUCUUUAUGGCCUUAAACAAGCUCCAAGACAGUGGUGCAAAAGGUUUGAUUCCUUAAUGACUGGGCAAGACUACACACGUAGUAAGUAUGAUAAUUGUAUGUAUUUUCGACAGUUUUCUGGUGGUUCCUUCGUUUACUUGUUGUUAUAUGUUGAUUGCCUCUAAAGACAAGUCUUUGAUCAAUAAGUUAAAAUCUCAACUUAAUUCUAAGUUUGAGAUGAAGGACCUUGGUGUAGCUAAGAAGAUUCUAGGUAUGGAGAUUCACAGGGAUCGAAAAGCUGGAAGGCGAUGACCCAAAAGCAAAAACAAAGAAAAAAGAAAAAAAAUUGCCCACGAAUGAAGAUUCGAAGGUCCGUCGAUCCAUCCUUUGGGGCGUCGAUAAGUUAAAUUUUCCAGUGAUAGCCUAAGUUGAAGAGGACAAAGGACGGAGCGAUCGACGGAGCGUCGACUGGAUCGACGUUUCGUCAUUUGUCUCGUAAAACAGACUUGUCCACUAGAAGAGAGAAAGACGAAAGAAUCGACGGAGCAUCGAACUGAUCGACGACACCGUCGACUGGACCAUCAAACUGAAGAACUAAAAGACGAAGGAUCGACGGUCCGUCGAUUCUGCCACCAGAGGCAGUUUUGCCAAUUGCUGAUGUGCGUUUUUUGGAGUCUAUUUAAAGAAUAUUUUAGGUUUUUGUACACAUCAGAUUUCUCUCCAACAUUUAACACUUUUUUCAUUGGUGGAUGAGCAUUGAAUACACCACUUUUGGAGCUUAGUGAAGACAAAAACAUUCCUUUCUCACCAUCUUUAUUAAAAUUUGUAAGCUUUAUGUCUCCAUUAUUGCUUACUACUUUUGUGACCUACAUGUGUGAGUAGUUUCUUUAAUUAAAGUUGUGGACCCAAA